AUACGGAGGGUGCAAGCGUUAUCCGGAUUUAUUGGGUUUAAAGGGUGCGCAGGCGGACUUGUCAGUCAGUGGUGAAAUCCCGGGGCUCAACCUCGGAACUGCCAUUGAUACUGCAGGUCUUGAGUUUGGUUGAAGUGGGCGGAAUGUAGCAUGUAGCGGUGAAAUGCAUAGAUAUGCUACAGAACACCGAUCGCGAAGGCAGCUCACUAAACCAACACCGACGCUCAGGCACGAAAGCGUGGGUAGCGAACAGGAUUAGAAACCCUAGUAGUCC
rnacentral:rRNA from 1 species